GAAUGACUUAUGAUUUUUCUAUUGAGAAGAAAAAAUAAAAAAAGGUGAACAAAACAUGUGAAACAUGGAUAACAUGAUAUGAAGAAAAUGCUAAAACCAAAAGAGAAAAUGUCUCAGCAUGGAAUCGAUCCAUGUUCAUAUUCAAAUACGUGCGCUUCAAGUGAAACGCCGCGUUUCACUAAAGGACGUGUCACGCUUCUAUUGGCUUCAUGGCUCUCAAACACAAAAAACAUGCAAAACAUGGAGG
rnacentral:lncRNA from 1 species